rnacentral:rRNA from 1 species
ACUAAACGCUGGCGGCGUGCCUAACACAUGCAAGUCGUACGAGAAAGUUGGCUUCGGCCGAUGAGUAAAGUGGCGCACGGGUGAGUAAUGCGUGGAUAAUCUGCCCUUUAGUUGGGAAUAACGUACCGAAAGGUGCGCUAAUACCUGAUAAUACUGCAUAACUACUGUUGUGUAGUCAAAGAAGGCCUCUGUUUACAAGCUUUUGCUGAAGGAUGAGUCCGCGUACCAUUAGCUGGUUGGUGGGGUAAUGGCCUACCAAGGCUACGAUGGUUAGCUGGUCUGAGAGGAUGAUCAGCCACACUGGAACUGAGACACGGUCCAGACUCCUACGGGAGGCAGCAGUGAGGAAUAUUGCGCAAUGGGGGCAACCCUGACGCAGCAACGCCGCGUGAGUGAGGAAGGUUUUCGGACCGUAAAGCUCUGUCGAGCGGGAAGAAAUGUAUCAUGGCUAAUAUCCAUGAUACUUGACGGUACCGCUAAAGGAAGCACC